GGAAUAUUUGCGGCUGUUGGCGAUGAUGGUCCUGGGAGCAGGAAGCAAGGACAGGGAGAGCCAGGUGCCAAGCACCCCAGGAGGGCACCAGGGGGCAGGAGGUACCUACAGGGUUCGGAAGUUCUCCUUGCCCAGCAUCCUGUACUCCUGGCAGACUUUCUCCCGGACAUAAGCUCUACCUGAAAGUGCAGGAAAAGGAGGAAUUGAUUUGGUGGUCCAUGGCAAAGAUGUUGGCACAGCCGGUGUGGGAGAAGCAUCCCUGGUAUCCAGCUCUGCAGUCAGGAACAGGGACAAG